rnacentral:lncRNA from 1 species
AUGUCCACUUGGGAUACAGGUCCUGAGCCAGGGUGGUCCCACCUCCUCCCCCUGUCUGCACCAGGCCUGACUGAGGCAGACCUGACACCAGCCUUUGACCCCACAUUCGUUUCAGAACAAACGGCUUUGGAGAGGCAUCCGUCCCAUGGUUCUGAUGGUGGGCCUGGGCGCUGGAGUGUGGAUCUGGAUGAGGAAGAAGACGGAGACUGGGAGAGCCUCACUGAGUCUCUGCUGAGUGCAGGUGGGUCUGCUCUCCUGCCCGAGGGGCCCGGCUCAGCAGCUGCUCCCCAGGCCCUUCCCACAGAAGAAUCUGCUGACCUGCAGACUGGUGAGGCUGACAGCCACUACUCCCCCUACAUGAAGAUCAGACUCCUGGGACACCCUGAGGUGGGUCUGAAGGAAUCAAAUCAGGUUGACCAACAUCUACUCAGAGGUCAUGAAUUCUGGGAAGUCCAGGGUACUCUGCUCCUUGUCGGCUCUGGGUUCAAUCCUUGCUUUGGAUGAUAUGGUUGCUGUGCCCAGGCACUCACAGGAUGCUGGGAGCUGAGGUGCAAUGGGAGGAAACCACUGAUGGGGAGGACACCUCGACUGAGUGUCCACAAUCUCACCAGAUGUCGCUGCCACCUAGGGUGGAGGGGUGGCAGAGCAGGAGAGGCAAGAAUGUAAAUGGACAGGUGUCUGGUAGACCCUGCCAUCUGCAUAGGACCCAAAGGAAGCAAAAGUAGGUGAGACCAGCAGGGCCUGGAGGUGGAGCAGACCCAAGGAUCUGAGGAACAUCAGGAAAUCUCCUCCCUGCAGUCUGUCUCCCUCCUACCUGCCUGAGACCCUGCCAUUAAUGCCACCUCUUUGGGUAAAGGCAUUGUUGUCACCACUGAUGAGAUGUCCCAGGGAGAGCAUCUCAUGUGGCCACUCGCCCUUAGAUGGAAAUUGGUGCUGUGAUCACAGAAGGAAUGAUUCCACCAAAGGGAAAGAGCUGGAGACAGGACAACUGUAGGAAGCGAGGACACUUAAGGGACUUCCCUAGAAGCACUGGUUCUUAAACUGAGCUCACAUCAGAAAUGCCAGUAGGAUGUGGUAAAAUAAAGGUUGCUGGGCCCACA